rnacentral:rRNA from 1 species
UACGUAGGGAGCAAGCGUUGUCCGGAAUCAUUGGGCGUAAAGCGCGCGUAGGUGGCUUCGUAAGUCCGCUGUGAAAGUCAAAGGCUCAACCUUUGAAAGCCGGUGGAUACUGCGGGGCUAGAGUACGGAAGAGGCGAGUGGAAUUCCUGGUGUAGCGGUGGAAUGCGCAGAUAUCAGGAGGAACACCAAUAGCGAAGGCAGCUCGCUGGGACGUUACUGACACUGAGACGCGAAAGCGUGGGGAGCGAACAGG